GAUGAACGCUGGCGGCGUGCCUAAUACAUGCAAGUCGAGCGAACAGACGAGGAGCUUGCUCCUUUGACGUUAGCGGCGGACGGGUGAGUAACACGUGGAUAACCUACCUAUAAGACUGGGAUAACUUCGGGAAACCGGAGCUAAUACCGGAUAACAUGUUGAACCGCAUGGUUCAACAGUGAAAGACGGUCUUGCUGUCACUUAUAGAUGGAUCCGCGCCGCAUUAGCUAGUUGGUAAGGUAACGGCUUACCAAGGCAACGAUGCGUAGCCGACCUGAGAGGGUGAUCGGCCACACUGGAACUGAGACGCGGUCCAGACUCCUACGGGAGGCAGCAGUAGGGAAUCUUCCGCAAUGGGCGAAAGCCUGACGGAGCAACGCCGCGUGAGUGAAGAAGGUCUUCGGAUCGUAAAACUCUGUUAUUAGGGAAGAACAAAUGUGUAAGUAACUAUGCACGUCUUGACGGUACCUAAUCAGAAAGCCACGGCUAACUACGUG
rnacentral:rRNA from 1 species